rnacentral:rRNA from 1 species
UACGUAGGGUGCAAGCGUUGUCCGGAAUUAUUGGGCGUAAAGGGCUCGUAGGCGGUCUGUCGCGUCGGGAGUGAAAACUCAGGGCUUAACCCUGAGCCUGCUUCCGAUACGGGCAGACUAGAGUGCGGUAGGGGAGAUUGGAAUUCCUGGUGUAGCGGUGGAAUGCGCAGAUAUCAGGAGGAACACCGAUGGCGAAGGCAGAUCUCUGGGCCGUAACUGACGCUGAGGAGCGAAAGCAUGGGGAGCGAACAGG